AGAGUUUGAUCAUGGCUCAGAUUGAACGCUGGCGGCAGGCCUAACACAUGCAAGUCGAGCGGUAGCACAGAGAGCUUGCUCUCGGGUGACGAGCGGCGGACGGGUGAGUAAUGUCUGGGAAACUGCCUGAUGGAGGGGGAUAACUACUGGAAACGGUAGCUAAUACCGCAUAAUGUCGCAAGACCAAAGAGGGGGACCUUCGGGCCUCUUGCCAUCAGAUGUGCCCAGAUGGGAUUAGCUAGUAGGUGGGGUAACGGCUCACCUAGGCGACGAUCCCUAGCUGGUCUGAGAGGAUGACCAGCCACACUGGAACUGAGACACGGUCCAGACUCCUACGGGAGGCAGCAGUGGGGAAUAUUGCACAAUGGGCGCAAGCCUGAUGCAGCCAUGCCGCGUGUAUGAAGAAGGCCUUCGGGUUGUAAAGUACUUUCAGCGGGGAGGAAGGCGAUAAGGUUAAUAACCUUGUCGAUUGACGUUACCCGCAGAAGAAGCACCGGCUAACUCCGUGCCAGCAGCCGCGGUAAUACGGAGGGUGCAAGCGUUAAUCGGAAUUACUGGGCGUAAAGCGCACGCAGGCGGUCUGUCAAGUCGGAUGUGAAAUCCCCGGGCUCAACCUGGGAACUGCAUUCGAAACUGGCAGGCUAGAGUCUUGUAGAGGGGGGUAGAAUUCCAGGUGUAGCGGUGAAAUGCGUAGAGAUCUGGAGGAAUACCGGUGGCGAAGGCGGCCCCCUGGACAAAGACUGACGCUCAGGUGCGAAAGCGUGGGGAGCAAACAGGAUUAGAUACCCUGGUAGUCCACGCCGUAAACGAUGUCGACUUGGAGGUUGUGCCCUUGAGGCGUGGCUUCCGGAGCUAACGCGUUAAGUCGACCGCCUGGGGAGUACGGCCGCAAGGUUAAAACUCAAAUGAAUUGACGGGGGCCCGCACAAGCGGUGGAGCAUGUGGUUUAAUUCGAUGCAACGCGAAGAACCUUACCUACUCUUGACAUCCAGAGAACUUUCCAGAGAUGGAUUGGUGCCUUCGGGAACUCUGAGACAGGUGCUGCAUGGCUGUCGUCAGCUCGUGUUGUGAAAUGUUGGGUUAAGUCCCGCAACGAGCGCAACCCUUAUCCUUUGUUGCCAGCGGUUAGGCCGGGAACUCAAAGGAGACUGCCAGUGAUAAACUGGAGGAAGGUGGGGAUGACGUCAAGUCAUCAUGGCCCUUACGAGUAGGGCUACACACGUGCUACAAUGGCGCAUACAAAGAGAAGCGACCUCGCGAGAGCAAGCGGACCUCAUAAAGUGCGUCGUAGUCCGGAUUGGAGUCUGCAACUCGACUCCAUGAAGUCGGAAUCGCUAGUAAUCGUAGAUCAGAAUGCUACGGUGAAUACGUUCCCGGGCCUUGUAGACA
rnacentral:rRNA from 1 species